rnacentral:lncRNA from 1 species
CCGCGCGCGGCGGCCGUUGGCGGCGGCGGCCCCGAGAUGACGGUGCUGCGCCCCGCCGCUGUGCGGGCCUGGGAACGGGGAAGAGGGCUGCUGAGUCAAAGCACGGCGUUUUUAAAGACGGACUCCUUGGAAGUUUUUCCCAAGCUGGCUUUUCUGGUUAGACUACAUCUCCAGUAAUGCUCGAUGGAUAUGGAUUCCUACAGUGCCUUCCUCCCUUUAUCUAGCAGAGAGAGAUUGUAUUGGAUGUAUCCAUUACAUGCUGAUGUGGAGAGACGGAAAACUGUGUUUCUGGAAGACUCUGAUCUUUCAGUCUCCGACAAAUCCUUCAAGUUGGCACAACUGAGAAAAAAAAAUCCUUUCAUGCUGAUGAAUGGAGAAUUGAGGUUGAGGAACAGAAGACAGUGACACAGGGCUCAUCUAUGACCUUGGCUCAGGGAAUUUUGUGUGAAUAAAGCGGGCUAUGUAUGGCCUUUUGUGCUUCUG